CUGAAUCUCAGUGAGUGCUCCUGAGAACGGCUGGGUCAGAUGUGGUGGGUGCCGUGGUUCACUGAGCCUCCAGCGGUGAGGUGCCCGAAGACUGGACGAUUCCCGAUGUUGUCCCUGUCCCUGAUGUUGUACCUGCAGCAGGGGUUCUGGAACUCAAAUGCUCACCACAGAACACAGAAGUUGGAACAGUACAGCACAGGAACAGGCCCUUCCAUCCACCAUGUUGUGCCGAAAUAAUUAAACUAGUAAUUCAACAGCUAGCUAAACUAAUCCCUUCUGCCUACACACGGUCCAUAUUCCUCCAUUCUCUGCACUCCAUAUGCCUGUCUAAGAGCCUCUUAAACCCGUCUAUCGUAUCUGCCUCCACCACCACCCCUGGCAGCGCAUUCCAGGCACCCAGCACUCUCCGUGUAAGAAACUUGCCCCGCACAUCUCCUUUGAACUUUCCCCCCUCACUUUAAAUGCACACCCUCUGGUAUUAGACAUUUCAACCCUGGGAAAAAGAUACCAGCUGUCUACCCCAUCGAUGCCUCUCAUAAUCUUAUAAACCUCUAUCAGGUCUCCCCUCAGCCUCCGCCGCUCCAGAGAGAACAACCCAAGUUUAUCCAAUCUCUACUUAUAGCUCAUGCCCUCUGAUCCAGGCAACCUCCUGGUGAACCUCUUCUGCACCCUCUCCAAAGCCUCCACAUUCUUCCCGUAAUGGAGCGACCAGAACUGAAUGCAAUACUCCAUAUGUGGCCUAAACCAGAGUUUUAUAAAGCUGCAACAUAACUUCCUGACUCUUGAACUCAAUGCCUCAACUAGUGAAGGCAAGCAUGCCGUACACCUUCUUU